ACCACACAGCUAAUUGUAGGUCUGGACUCCCUUGGAUAUUUCUUUCAUUAGUACCUCCCUUGGGAUACCUUACUCCAUUUGUGCCUCCACAGGCUGGCUUCAUCUUUUUUUAAGCCUUUGUUGUGGAUUCAGCAUAUCAAAGCCUCUCUUUGUCAGGACACUUCUAUUUUGUACUCUGAAUGGGGAUUAAACUACACAUGGUGUACCUGGAAGCACUUGUGAAUCUGUUCUGCCUGAUGUCCAUCCCCGCCUGGCGUCUCUCCCAUACCCCUCACGACUGGUCUGGUGACUCCAGAGCCAGUCUGGGCACAUUGGUCUUGGAUGAGGGCACAGGAUUAGUCACUGCCACCAAACAAUGUCUAAUUGUGUGUAUGUUUUCCUUUCCUCCAGAAAAGGACUCUGUGUUGUCUGUGCUGCCUCACUGCUCUAUUUUUCUGCAGUUUCUUAUUUUUCCACAAAAAAAGCUGCUCAUUCCUCCCAAACUUAUUGUAUGGCCCAGCCUCAGCUCAAGUGGCUUAAACUCAUACAAAUGGUGUCACAAGGAGAUUAAGGAACAUACUUUGUGGCAUGAUGAAAAGCAGCAAAUGACAGCAAAAUCCUGCCUUUUCACAAAACACAUGUGAUCUUUUUUGACUCUGUCCUCAUUUUUGGAUUACUUCAGAGGAGGAAACUUUGAAUUGUAACAGAUCUGCCAGCAAGAGCAAAGUGUCUCCAGUCACCUGUGCCUGGUCUUUGCUUUCUUACACAACCUUCUAUGUUUAAAUAGAGUAGUCUGCUUCUGCUUUUUGUUUGUUUGUUGUAAUCUGGUGUUUUAUUGGGUCUUAUGGGCUCACCUGAAGUCAGUUUAGUAGGAAACAAUCCCUGAGCAAGUGAAGUUAUAUCUAUCAUUGUUGUCACUUCAAAUACUUCAGAUGUCUUGCCAGUAAAAAACCCCUUCAAGGUACCAGCAUAGCACCUGAAAACUAUGAGUGAGACAAGCAAGGAAGGAUGUGAGCAGAUGGGAAGGGACUGGAGAGUUAGACAUGGAAAUCAGCAGGAUUUCCCCGGGGAGUAAACAAGAGCCUUCCAGGAAAUGUUCUACAGCUUGGGGGACACGUCAUGGCUGAACAGGACUUCAGAGAGCAGCUGAUAAAGAAAGAAGACCAGCAUAUUAGGGACAGUGAGAAUUCGGGUACUUCAGUAAGAAGGGCCAUGCAGGUGUUUCAGAAAUAUGUGAUAUCUGUGUCCUGGGCAUUCAUAUCAAC